rnacentral:rRNA from 1 species
UACGUAGGGGGCAAGCGUUGUCCGGAAUCAUUGGGCGUAAAGAGCGUGUAGGCGGCUCGGUAAGUCCGCUGUGAAAGUCCAGGGCUCAACCCUGGAAUGCCGGUGGAAACUGUCGAGCUAGAUUCCGGAAGAGGCGAGUGGAAUUCCUGGUGUAGCGGUGAAAUGCGCAGAUAUCAGGAGGAACACCAAUGGCGAAGGCAGCUCGCUGGGACGGUACUGACGCUGAGACGCGAAAGCGUGGGGAGCAAACAGG